rnacentral:rRNA from 1 species
UAAGCCUCGUACCUUUUGCAUCAUGACUUAGCUAGCACCCUCAAGCAAAGAGCACCUUUAGUUUGACACCCCGAAACUAAUGUGAGCUACUCCAAGACAGCCUAUUUAUAGGGCAACCCCGUCUCUGUGGCAAAAGAGUGGGAAGAGCUUUGAGUAGAGGUGACAAACCUACCGAACUUAGUUAUAGCUGGUUGCCUGAGAACUGGAUACAAGUUCAGCCUCCCGGCUUCUCCAUUCAUUUACUAUUCAAAUGACUACUUUUAGAUGAAAAGUAGCCCGCGAGAGUUAGUCAAAGGAGGUACAGCUCCUUUGAAUCAAAAUACAAUUUUCCAAGGAGGGUAAAGAUCAUAAUUUUAAUAAGGCAAUAUGUUCUGGUGGGCCUAAGAGCAGCCAUCCCAAUUAGAAAGCGUUAAAGCUCGAACAUACUUUCCGCCCCAUAUCCCGAUAACCUAAUCUUAACCCCCUAACUCUAUCAGGCCGUCCCAUGCAAACAUGGAAGCGACCAUGCUAAUAUGAGUAACAAGAGGGCCAACUUUGCGCCCCUCUCCUAGCACACAUGUACAUCGAAACGGACCUACCACCGAAAAUUAACGGCCCCAAACAAAGAGGGAAGUGAAAGAUAAAUAUAACAUACUAGAAAUCCAUCCAAUACAUAACCGUUAACCCCACACCGGUGUGCCCGAAGGAAAGACUAAAAGAAAAAGAAGGAACUCGGCAAACACAAGCCUCGCCUGUUUACCAAAAACAUCGCCUCUUGUAUAACCAUAAUCAACA